CUGCUGGCUCCAUCUCUGCUCUUCAAGAGGGUCAAAGCAAGGAUAUGCGGUUUUCAUCCGGAGAAGACAACAUCCUUGUUUCCAGGAAUUGUUUGCCAGCAGGUUCAGAAACAGCGAUGGAGAAGCCAAGUAAGUGUCAAAGUGUAACCUGUGGGGAAUCUGAACUUUUCCAACACAGCCCUCGAGCCCUGGAGCUGCUCUGGAUCAUGCUGGUGGCAGCUGGGUGGAUGAGCACACCGAGCCUUGGGGUGGAACACCCAGCCGAAGCCAGAGUUCAUUCCCUGCUUUGGAGAUGUACUUGGGAAGGGACAAGCACAUCGCUCUGAUAUAUAGUGUGGGACCUGGCAAGGGUGGUGUGAGGUUCCCUUGAGUCAGGGUGACAAAGAAAGAUGAAUGUGGGUUGCCUGGAGCCAUAGAGAGAAAGCCCCCCCAAGCACUGGACCUUGGCCAGGUAUCUGCUUGUGAUGGAAGUCCAAGGCUGGCUUCCAACAUCUUUUAUGUUUCCAGACGGCUUGGCAUGUGUUAGCAGGGCCAUUGCCUGGACACCGAGAGCUCAUCAGCCUGACCUGUCAAGACAGUGCUUGGGCUGAAAAAUGCUCUCAUGCCUGCACUCCAGCGCUCCGAUACUGCUGACCUGGUACACGCUGAUCCAGUUCCCAUCCCUGCAUCAGCACGGCGUGCAUGCAUCACCCCACACAUCCUCUUCAUCGCAACCCCUGCUGUCACGGGCGUGAUUUGCAGCUGCUGGGCUUGAAGAACCAACCUGAGGGCAUCUCCUUGGCUGCAGGUCUCAUAUGGAGAGUUAAGGACCCUGGUGCCACCGUUCUGGGUGCGUUAGGGGCAUGCAGCCACCAGGCAGGUGCCUGUCACCAGCCCUGAAAUGCUGAAGCGAUCAACUCGGUAAAAGCUGAAGGAAUAAAGUUUUACUGCAGAGAAUGACUCAGUUUUAUACGGUCUAUAAAAGCUCGUUAGGCGUUUGUGAGUGGUCUGCUAAUCCUGCCUCCGCCUGGACCUCUAAAUCCAAUCAAAGCCUGUGGCUUCCAACUGGGUCACUGCGGCUCCAUUAUUAAAGUCCUCAGGUGCCAUUUCUCAUGAAUAAGCAAUUGAUUUGUGGCUAAAACAAAUCAAUGUAUUAAACACCCUUUAUAGCUUCAAAAGUUCCAACUGUUAUGCAAAUAGACCUGUUAAAUGAAGAAUAUUCCUAGGUAAAAUAAUUAUGCAGAACAGUUUCCCCUCUGCAUAAGGUGCCAAAAAUUAUCUCAGUGAUGCCAAUUAUGUGCUUGUUAGCACUGACAUUAUCAUAGUCAUUACACAGAGCUGGUGGAGUUUAUGUAAGAUCUACACUGUGUUCUAUUGUCAUUUUUUCCCUCUAUUUACAACUCUGUAUAAUAAAUGUCAUUUUUCAAAUGUUAA